UUCUGCCGGACCCGACUGCUAUCAGAGUGAGAUUAAGCCAUGCGAGUUAACGUAGCAAUACGUGGCGCACGGCUCAGUAACACGUAGUCAACAUGCCCAGAGGACGUGGAUAACCUCGGGAAACUGAGUCUAAACCGCGAUAAGUGAGGAUUUCUGGAAUGGUUCCUGACUAAAAUCUAUAUGGCCUCUGGAUUGGACUGCGGCCGAUCAGGCUGUUGGUGAGGUAAUGGCCCACCAAACCUGUAACCGGUACGGGYUYUGAGAGGAGGAGCCCGGAGAUGGGCACUGAGACAAGGGCCCAGGCCCUAUGGGGCGCAGCAGGCGCGAAACCUCUGCAAUAGGCGAAAGCCUGACAGGGUUACUCUGAGUGACUUUCGCUAAGAAAGUCUUUUGGCACCUCUAAAAAGGGUGCAGAAUAAGGGGUGGGCAAGUCUGGUGUCAGCCGCCGCGGUAAUACCAGCACCCCGAGUGGUCGGGACGAUUAUUGGGCCUAAAGCAUCCGUAGCCGGUUCUGCAAGUCCCCCGUUAAAUCCAGCUGCUCAACAGAUGGGCCGCGGAGGAUACUACAGAGCUAGGAGGCAGGAGAGGCAAGCGGUACUCAGUGGGUAGGGGUAAAAUCCGUUGAUCCAUUGAAGACCACCAGUGGCGAAGGCGGCUUGCCAGAAUGCGCUCGACGGUGAGGGAUGAAAGCUGGGGGAGCAAACCGGAUUAGAUACCCGGGUAGUCCCAGCCGUAAACGAUGCAGACUCGGUGAUGGACUAGCUUUAUGCUGGUCCAGUGCCGCAGGGAAGCCGUUAAGUCUGCCGCCUGGGUAGUACGGUCGCAAGACUGAAACUUAAAGGAAUUGGCGGGGGAGCACCACAAGGGGUGAAGCCUGCGGUUCAAUUGGAG
rnacentral:rRNA from 1 species